rnacentral:rRNA from 1 species
GAGUUUGAUCGUGGCUCAGAUUGAACGCUAGCGGAAUGCUUUACACAUGCAAGUCGGGCGGCAGCGGGUCCUUCGGGAUGCCGGCGAGCGGCGAACGGGUGAGUAAUGUAUCGGAACGUACCCAUUAGUGGGGGAUAACUACGCGAAAGCGUGGCUAAUACCGCGUACGCCCCUUUGGCGACAUUGGGGGAAAGCAGGGGACCUUUCGGGGCCUUGCGCUAUUGGAGCGGCCGAUAUCGGAUUAGUUUGUUGGUGGGGUAAUGGCCUACCAAGGCGAUGAUCCGUAGCUGGUUUGAGAGGACGACCAGCCACACUGGGACUGAGACACGGCCCAGACUCCUACGGGAGGCAGCAGUGGGGAAUUUUGGACAAUGGGGGCAACCCUGAUCCAGCCAUUUCGCGUGUGCGAUGAAGGCCUUCGGGUUGUAAAGCACUUUUGGCGGGGAAGAAACGGCGGUCUCUAACAUAG